rnacentral:misc_RNA from 1 species
CAAGCAGCAAGCAGCAAGCACCAAUCACAGACCAGAUGACAAUGUUUACCUCCAUCAGCUGGGCAUGGCGGAGCACACCGCUGACCGAGGGUGGAGGGCUUGUAGUCAGUCUGCAACGCCAUCCCUGGUCAGUGUCACAUCAGUGUGGAGGAGUCUACUGAUUAAUUGCUCCGGCUAAUAUUCCCCAAGUAGUUGAUGCGACAAAGCAACGAGAAAUGUCUACUUUUGUCCUUUUUAUGAGGGCCCAUAUCAUUUCGCUGCUGAAUGGAUGCCAUACAACCUGGUACCCUUGGCUCCCGACUGGCUCCCCACUGGCUCCUUACUCCCAUGACAAAACCCUGACAGAGAUGACAGUGCCGCCACUGACACAACCUCCGGACACAACUCUUCCCAGCCCCUGAGAGGGAAGAUUGUGCAGGGGAAAGAAGCAUGUGAUAUGUGGUACAGUGAAAUCAGCAAAUACGACUACAACAAAGCUGGCUACUCAAAUGGAACGGGUCACUUCACACAGAUGGUAUGGAAGAGCAGCAAAGGAACUGGGUGUCGGUAUCGCUAAGGGACACGACGGGAAGAUAUACGUUGUAGCCAACUAUCUACCGCCGCAGGAACUGCACAGGGGCACUUCCAGAACAAUGUAUUCCCACCAAAAUAAAUGUCUCUGUUAUUGUGAUUGAA